rnacentral:rRNA from 1 species
UAAGCAUAUUAAUAAGGGGAGGAAAAGAAACUAACUAGGAUUCCCUUAGUAGCGGCGAGCGAACCGGGAGAAGCCCAGCACUUAGCCCAUUAAUUUUAAUUAAUUAAAUGGGGAUGCAGUGUAUGGAGAGUUCAUUAGCUCACUACAAUAGAUAUGUAGAUUCAAGUCCAUCUUGAAUGGGGCCACUUAUCCCAUAGAGGGUGCCAGGCCCGUAGCAAUUGCUAUCUGUAGUUUGCGAACUUCUCUUAAGAGUCGUGUUGCUUGAUAGUGCAGCACUAAGUGGGUGGUAAACUCCAUCUAAGGCUAAAUAUAACCACGAGACCGAUAGAGAACAAGUACCGUGAGGGAAAGUUGAAAAGAACUCUGAAUAGAGAGUUAAAAAGUACGUGAAACCGUAUAGGGGUUAAGCCCGUUGAAUCUAAAUAUCCGAUGGAUGAAAUUCAGUAUUAUUGAUUGUUGACUCUUUUGCUUAAUAGUCAAUGGUAUGCACUUUUCAUCUAGUAGGACACUGCAAUCUGUUAGAUUAAAUAUAAUCAUUAUGUAUUAUAUUUGAACCUAUCAAUGGAAUUUGUGUAGAUUGUUUAUCUGUUAUUGUACUAAUAAUACAAUACGAUAAAUCUACGUUAGAAUUCUGAUAGUGUUUGACUGACAGAUUUAUUUAACAAAUCAUAUAACAUGCAUAUGUAAUUGAUUUAUCAAUUUAUAUGUAUUUGAUUUGCAGUGCACUAUAGAUUUAGAUACCUUCGGGGCCCGU